UUUUUUGCUAUUGCAUCAUCAUCAAGAUUCAGAAAUCAUAUUCUUUGAUGGGUUCUCCUUCGAGCCUGUCUUUUUUGGUUUGAGAAUCUUGAUGAUGCUGCAGCGGCGAUUAA
rfam:Brassica oleracea var. oleracea cultivar TO1000 chromosome C8, whole genome shotgun sequence